rnacentral:rRNA from 1 species
UACGUAGGGUGCGAGCGUUGUCCGGAAUUAUUGGGCGUAAAGGGCUCGUAGGCGGUCUGUUGCGUCGGGAGUGAAACUCAGGGCUUAACCCUGAGCCUGCUUCCGAUACGGGCAGACUAGAGGUAUGCAGGGGGAGAACGGAAUUCCUGGUGUAGCGGUGAAAUGCGUAGAUAUCUGGAGGAACACCGGUGGCGAAGGCGGCAUCCUGGGACCAACACUGACACUGAGGAGCGAAAGCCAGGGGAGCAAACGGGAGUUAGAA